rnacentral:lncRNA from 1 species
UUCAAAAACUCAGACUUCCCUCCAUCAAGCUCAGACUACUCUGUCGCGCUGGAGGUAGGCUUUGGCGGCGACAUAGGCCUGCCACCUUAAAAGAUUAACAUCAAUCCCUUCUUUUCCCCCUCCUGAGUCCAAAAAUCACCAUGUCGAAGCCUAAUUUAACCUCCAUCAUGCAAAUCGAAGCGGCGAAAGGAAGAACCCUAGAUCCUCUAAUCAAAAUUAAACAACGCUCGUUGAGAUUUAGAGCCCUAGAUGUUAGAGCUUUGGAUCUUCAUGGAGUCUCUUACAUAAUGGUAACUCAAACGAAGCGCAAUGAUGAAGAUUUAAUGUGAACUUACCGGAGCACAAUGCUAGAAAUGUCAGAUAAUUCUUCUGCACCUUCUCGUGCUUCAUUUCCUUGAUUUCUCUUUCUUCUAAAGCCUCUUCUGUAACUGAAAGUGUGUGCAAUUUGAUAGGAUGGUAGGUAGAGUGAAGCGAGCUUUGAGAUUCAACAAUGGAAAAUUGGGAUUCGAGAUUGAUGGAGAGUAUUUCAGUGUUAGGAGGAAGAGAAAUCAGAGAGUUUGAGUGUAGAGUGAAUUUAUGAGAUUCUUGAUUUGUGGAGUGUGAAAACAUGAAGUGAAUGAGUGAAAAGUGAUCUUAUUUAUAGAGUUUAGGUCCCUCCAAUUCAGUUGGAAAUGCACAUGAAAUUUAAUAUGAAAUUUACAUGUUAGUUACAAAUUAGAAAAUAUGUUAGCAUUUGAAAUGAGUGAAAACGAGUUAGUUUGUGUUCAGUUAGUGUGAAAGAUUUCGUGUGUGUUGCAUCAGGUUAACUGUUGUGGUCUCAUUUAGUUAUGUUAAUGUUGUGAACUUGUGAAAAGAAAUUUGAUUGAAAUGAGGUUUGCUGGAAUAUUUUGCAGAAUGUUGCUUAGUAGGAAAUUUCUGUCAAACCCUAUUUCCUGUCACCUGAUGUAGCAGGUCUGUAGUGUGGCUACAAGUUUUGGACUAGUCUUGCAUAUACUCCAUUUGGCCCAUGGUUCUGCAUCUUGACCAUGUAUUAAUUCUAACUUGUGAUUUGCAAGGAGAGCCUAGCCAAAGCUUGUUUGCAAUUCUGACCUUGGUUUGCCUUCAUGUGAUAUGGCUAUGGUUCAGUGAAGUGGUUAUGCAUCAUGCUCAUUAUAUAAUACAUAUGUUCCUGGGAUCAUUACAGGAAUUUGUGUGUUAUGGUUUAUGGCACUGCAUCCUGACUUUGAUUCUGCAUAUGAUGGUUUGUUAGCAAUGUUUCGUGGCUUAUGCAUUGUGUGCAUGGUAUGCUUUUCCAAUUCUAACUUUGCCUCAUGUUUUGCCAAUAUUUCUGACUAGCUUCCUUUGGCUAGUGAUCAUUGUUUUACUAGGUUCAUGAAGUCUCUUCCAUGCCAUGAACAUAUGGUAAUGGUGGUUGAACAAUGAAACAAGAUGACAUCAAGUUGAAACUUAUAGCAUCAUGUACAAAUGGCAUCAAGAUUGGAUUUAUAAAUAAGAUAUAGGACUUAGGGUUUUAGGAUGCCUAGUGGUUUAGGAUGAAAAAGAACUUGAGUUGACUCUGGUCAAAGUUGACCAAAAAGUCAACUGUUGACCAAAGUCAACAAUGGGUUAAUAUGUACUUUUUUGGAUUUUUGUAUGUAAUGAACAUUUAUGAAUGAUAAUGGAUAAAAUUGACUAUUUGAAUGAAAAA